rnacentral:ncRNA from 1 species
ACUUAUCCGCGUUACUGGCGAUAAGAGUAUAGCCGGCAGUAUGCCAAUGCAAAGGAUUGCGGCAACUGUCUUGUGCUCUUGAAGGUGGAUCACCAUCGGGAAGCGCGGUGCUUAUCUUUCUGGAGAUGAGCGAUCAGCGGAUCAUCCGCGCCGUGCGCCUGGGCAAUUUCC